AGUUAUUCUAAAGAUCAAUAAUAGUCUAGAAAAAUCAUCAUACAAAAAUAAAGAACAAGAGCUUAAGAUAGAAAAAAAAAAAGAGUUUUCAUACAGUACAAACAAAUAAACCGGAGAUUAGGUCAAGAGAAUUAACACAACAUUCAACCAAAACAGAGCAAAACAUAUUCACCAGAUUACCAAAACCGUGAAACUAAGCCAACAUAGUAAAACAAAGAGAAAUGAACCUCAAUGGCGAGAGUUUCUUCCAGAUUAGAGGAACUUCGGGCUUACAGUUUAUCCAAAUGAAGAGCGACAACAUUCAGUAAUAAAAAUCGAGCAUCAACUGAAAAAAAUCAACAGAAAUGCGAAUCGGACACGGAACAUCGACUUAAACCAGCUUCAUCUCACCAGCAAAAUUCAGGCAUGAAAUUGGACUUAAAAAUCGGAACCGUUGACAGAAAUUGGCUCAUCGGACCUUUUGACGGAAGUGAAGUGUACUCGACUAAUUUUAGCCGGAGUGAACGAGAGAUCGGAUAGAUUGAGGGUGGUUCAGAUAGCUAUUUCGCUGGAGAGGAAGAGCUAUUAUAAUGGAAGUUUGUUUCUCACAAUUAAAGUGUAAAGCUCUGAUGCUAAAAGAGGCGAAAAAGCUAUGGAAGUGAAGGUGAUAGCUGAGGAUUGAUAGAGCCUUUUUUGUUCCUUUUCGUGGCCAACUUGAAGGAGAAGGUCAAAUUCUCUUUGUGCUUAGUUGCUACUGUUCUUCGUUUCUCUUUUUUUUAGUGUUCAAGUGUAGGUAUUAUUAUGUAGUGGUAGAGACUAGGUCAAAU
rnacentral:lncRNA from 1 species